rnacentral:rRNA from 1 species
UACGAAGGGGGCUAGCGUUGUUCGGAAUUACUGGGCGUAAAGCGCACGUAGGCGGAUUGUUAAGUCAGAGGUGAAAUCCCGGAGCUCAACUUCGGAACUGCCUUUGAUACUGGCAAUCUCGAGUCCGGAAGAGGUUAGUGGAAUUCCCAGUGUAGGGGUGAAAUUCGUAGAUAUUGGGAAGAACACCAGUGGCGAAGGCGGCUAACUGGUCCGGUACUGACGCUGAGGUGCGAAAGCGUGGGGAGCAAACAGG